AUUGAACGCUGGCGGCAGGCUUAACACAUGCAAGUCGAACGAGUGGCGGACGGGUGAGUAAUGCUUGGGAAUCUAGCUUAUGGAGGGGGAUAACUCCGGGAAACUGUAGCUAAUACCGCGUACCAUAGGAUGAGCCCAAGUGGGAUUAGGUAGUUGGUGAGGUAAGGGCUUACCAAGCCGACGCUCUCUAGCUGGGCUGAGAUGAUGACUGUACAGCCUGGGCCUUGUAGACGGCCCAGAAUCCUGGGGGAGGCAGCAGUGGGGCAAAUUGCUCAAUGGGGGCAACCUGACGCAGCCAUGCAGCGUGAAUGAAGAAGGCCUGCGGGUUGUAAAGUUCUUUCGGUAGCGAGGCGUUAACUACAGAAGAAGGACCGGCGAACUCCGUGCCAGCCGCCGCGGUAAUUC
rnacentral:rRNA from 1 species